GAUGAACGCUGGCGGCGUGCCUAAUACAUGCAAGUCGAGCGAACGGACGCGGCGCUUGCUUCUCUGACGUUAGCGGCGGGCGGGUGAGUAACGCGUGGAUCACCUACCUAUAAUACUGGUAUCACUUCGGGACACCGUAGCUAACACCGGAUAAUAUUUUGCACCGCGUGGUUCAAAAGUGAAAGACGGUCUUGCUGUCACUAAUCGAUGGAUCUGAGCUGCUUUAGCUAGUUGGUAAGGUAACGGCUUACCAAGGCAACGAUGCAUAGCCGACCUGAGAGGGGGAUCGGCCGCAUUGGAAGGUGGACACGGUCCAGAGGCCUAAGGGAGGGAGCAGUAUGGAAUGUGCCGCAAUGGGCGAAAGCAUGACGGAGCAGGGCCGCGCGAGUGAUGAAGGCCUUCGGAUCGUAAAGCUCUGUUAUGAGUGGAGAACCGAUGUGGACGGAGCUGUGGACAGCGUGACGGUACCGAAUCAGAAAGCCACGGCUAACUACGUG
rnacentral:rRNA from 1 species